GCUAGAGCGAGGCUACUCACUGGUAUCAGGUGGUACUGACAACCACCUGGUGCUGGUGGACCUGCGGCCCAAGGGCCUGGAUGGAGCUCGGGCUGAGCGGGUGCUAGAGCUUGUAUCCAUCACUGCCAACAAGAACACCUGUCCUGGAGACCGAAGUGCCAUCACACCGGGCGGCCUGCGGCUUGGUGAGACCUGGGGUUUGAGGAGGGAAGGGGCUCCCAUGCUGGAUGACUGCCAGGUGACCUUGGGCUAUGCUCAUCCCUCCCCUUGUGCCUCGUUCCAGGGGCCCCAGCCUUAACUUCUCGACAGUUCCGUGAGGAUGACUUCCGGAGAGUUGUGGACUUUAUAGAUGAAGGGGUCAACAUUGGCUUAGAGGUGAAGAGCAAGACUGGUGAGUGAGCAAGAAGGAGCCCCGGGCCAGCCAGUUCCCACUCACUGUCUGCUCCCUCCCCCAGCUGAUCUCACUGCCUUCCCUAGAGCUCUGACCACUUGUUUCCUCACCCUCUCUCUCUAGCCAAGCUCCAG
rnacentral:sRNA from 1 species